rnacentral:rRNA from 1 species
AAGUCGUAACAAGGUUUCCGUAGGUGAACCUGCGGAAGGAUCAUUACAAGGACCGAGCCCUCGCGGGCCGACCCUUCAACCACUGUGUACCAAACUUUUCGUUGCCUCGGCGGGCCGGAUGGGGCCACCCCACCCCCCCAUCUCAGGGGAGCAGCUCGCCGCAGGGACCUUCAAACAAUUCUGUUCGAUGAACGUCUGAAUACCACCUUCGCGAAUGCGAUAAAAUACAACUUUUGACAAUGGAUCUCUUGGCUCCGGCAUCGAUGAAGAACGCAGCGAAAUGCGAUAGCUAGUGUGAAUUGCAGAUUUCAGUGAAUCAUCGAGUUUUUGAACGCACAUUGCGCCUCUUGGUAUUCCUUGAGGCAUGCCUAUUCGAGCGUCGUUUCGACCCUUCAAGCCACGGCUUGGCGUUGGGGAUCGCCCCUGAGACACGGCGGCGACCCUUGAAUCCAUCGGCGGUGCCGGUGCAGCCCAGAGCGCAGCAGUCAUGCAGCUUGAGGGCAGCCCGAGGCCAGCCGGAUGAACCCCCCCACGAAACAUAACAUCGACCUCGAAUUAGGCAGGGAUACCCGCUGAACUUAA